rnacentral:rRNA from 1 species
CCUAGUAACGGCGAGUGAACAGGAAAAAGCUCAAAGUUGGAACCUGUUUGGCCUAGCUAAACCGGAUUGUAAACUGUAGAAGUGUUUUCCAGGCAAGCCGGACCGAUAAGUCCUUUGGAACAGGGCAUCAUAGAGGGUGAGAAUCCCGUCUUCGGUCUGAGCAUUUGCCUUUUGCGAUACACUUUCAAAGAGUCAGGUUGUUUGGGAAUGCAGCCUAAAUUGGGUGGUAAAUCUCACCUAAAGCUAAAUAUUGGCGAGAAACCGAUAGCGAACAAGUACCGUGAGGGAAAGAUGAAAAGAACUUUGAAAAGAGAGUUAAACAGUAUGUGAAAUUGUUAAAAGGGAACCGUUUGGAGCCAGACUGGCUUGUCUGUAAUCAGUCUAAGUUUCGGCUUGGAUGCACUUGCAGGCUAUGCCUGCCAACGACAAUUUGGCUUGAGGGAAAAAACUAGGGGAAAUGUGGCCCAUCCGUGGGUGUUAUAGUCCCUUAGAAAAUACCUUGGGCUGGAUUGAGGUACGCAGCGAAUGCUAUUUGGCGAGUUGGCUGGGAAUAUUUUCUGAGGUGCUCUGGUACUGAGGUUGAUACUCCUAGUUACACUUCUAU